UCUCAUGUAGUCUAGUGGUGAGGAUACCUGGCUCUCAUCCAGGUGGCCCGGGUUCGAUUGCCGGCGUGGGAA
rnacentral:tRNA from 1 species